rnacentral:rRNA from 1 species
AGUUGGAUUUCUAGCCGACGUUAGUGGUCCCCAACGCUCAGCGUCUGGCGUACCGCACGCGUCGUCUAUCCUAUCAGUUUGUCUGGCUUCGGCCGGGCUGACUGGUUCUUUUACUUUGAAAAAAUUAGAGUGUUUAAAGCAGGCUUGCGUAAUGAAUACAUUAGCAUGGAAUAAUAAUAUAGGACUUCGGUCUCUACUUUAUUGUGUUCUGGAGAUGAAGUAAUGAUUGAUAGGG